GAUGAAGAACGUAGCGAAAUGCGAUAAGUAAUGUUAAUUGCAGAAUUCAGUGAAUCAUCGAAUCUUUGAACGCACAUUGCGCCCGCCAGUAUUCUGGCGGGCAUGCCUGUUCGAGCGUCAUUACAACCCUCAGGCCCCCGGGCCUGGCGUUGGGGAUCGGCGGAAGCCCCCUGCGGGCACAACGCCGUCCCCCAAAUACAGUGGCGGUCCCGCCGCAGCUUCCAUUGCGUAGUAGCUAACACCUCGCAACUGGAGAGCGGCGCGGCCACGCCGUAAAACACCCAACUCUUCUGAAGUUGACCUCGAAUCAGGUAGGAAUACCCGCUGAACUUAAGCAUAUCAAUAAGCGGAGGA
rnacentral:misc_RNA from 1 species